AUUGAACGCUGGCGGCAGGCCUAACACAUGCAAGUCGAACGAGAGGCGGACGGGUGAGUAAUGUCUGGGAGACUGCCCGAUGGGGAGGGAUAACUACUGGAAAAGGUAGCUAAUACCGCAUACCAUCGGAUGUGCCCCGAUGGGAUUAGCUAGUGGGGGGGGUAUAGGCUCACCUAGGCGACGAUCCCUAGCUGGUCUGAGAGGAUGACCAGCCACACUGGAACUGAGACACGGUCCAGACUCCUACGGGAGGCAGCAGUGGGGAAUAUUGCACAAUGGGCGCAAGCCUGAUGCAGCCAUGCCGCGUGUAUGAAGAAGGCCUUCGGGUUGUAAAGUACUUUCAGCGAGGAGGCGUUACUCGCAGAAGAAGCACCGGCUAACUACGUGCCAGCAGCCGCGGUAAUAC
rnacentral:rRNA from 1 species